UACGAAGGGGGCUAGCGUUGUUCGGAAUCACUGGGCGUAAAGCGUAUGUAGGCGGAUUGUUAAGUCAGGGGUGAAAUCCCGAGGCUCAACCUCGGAACUGCCUUUGAUACUGGCUGUCUUGAGUCCGGGAGAGGUGAGUGGAACUCCUAGUGUAGAGGUGAAAUUCGUAGAUAUUCGCAAGAACACCGGUGGCGAAGGCGGGUCUCUGGGCCGAUACUGACGCUGAGGAGCGAAAGCGUGGGGAGCGAACAGG
rnacentral:rRNA from 1 species